rnacentral:lncRNA from 1 species
UCAGUUUAAGGUUCAAAACCCUAAUGCUGACUAAAAGGAAAAUUCAGUUUAGGGUUUUAAAACCCUAAUGCUGAUUGCAUGAAAAUAGCUCGGUUUAGGGUUUAAAACCCUAAUGCUGGCUGAAAGGAAAAAGUUCAGUUUAGGGUUUAAAACCCUAAUGCUGACUAAAGGAAAAUGUUCAGUUUAGGGUUUAAAACCCUAAUGCUGACUAAAGGAAAAUUCAGUUUUAGGGUUUAAAACCCUAAUGCUGAUUGUAUGGAAAAAGCUCAGUUUAGGGUUUAAAACCCUAAUGCUGGCUGAAAGGAGAAAGUUCAGUUUAGGGUUUAAAACCCUAAUGCUGACUAAAAGGAAAAUUCAGUUUAAGGUUUAAAACCCUAAUGCUGAUUGCACGAAAAAGCUCAGUUUAGAGUUUAAAACUCUAAUGCUGGCUGGAAGGAAAAGUUCAGUUUAGGGUUUAAAACCCUAAUGCUGACUAAAAAGGAAAAUUCAGUUUAGGGUUUAAAACCCUAAUGCUGAUUGCAUGAAAAGCUCAGUUUAGAGUUUAAAACUCUAAUGCUGGCUGAAAGGAAAAAGUUCAGUUUAGGGUUUAAAACCCUAAUGCUGACUAAAAGGAAAAUUCAAUUUAGGGUUUUAAAACCCUAAUGCUGAUUGCAUGAAAAGGCUCAGUUUAGAGUUUAAAACUCUAAUGCUGGCUGGAAGGAAAAGUUCAGUUUAGGGUUUAAAACCUUAAUGCUGACUAAAAAGGAAAAU